UACGAAGGGGGGCUAGCGUUGCUCGGAAUCACUGGGCGUAAAGGGUGCGUAGGCGGGUCUUUAAGUCAGGGGUGAAAUCCUGGAGCUCAACUCCAGAACUGCCUUUGAUACUGAGGAUCUUGAGUAUGGGAGAGGUGAGUGGAACUGCGAGUGUAGAGGUGAAAUUCGUAGAUAUUCGCAAGAACACCAGUGGCGAAGGCGGCUCACUGGCCCAUAACUGACACUGAGGGCACGAAAGCGUGGGGAGCAAACAGG
rnacentral:rRNA from 1 species